GGGGACUUGGCUCAGUCCGGUAGAGUGGUUGGCUCCAGACCAAUUGGUCGGGUGUUCAAAUCACCCAGUCCCCACCA
rnacentral:tRNA from 2 species